UACAGAGGUCUCAAGCGUUGUUCGGAAUCACUGGGCGUAAAGGGCGCGUAGGCGGCCCGCACAAGUCUGCGGUGAAAACCCCCGGCUUAACCGGGGGCCGGCCGUGGAAACUGUCGGGCUGGAGGCUGGGAGAGGGCAGCGGAAUUCCCGGUGUAGCGGUGAAAUGCGUAGAGAUCGGGAGGAACACCGGCGGCGAAGGCGGCUGCCUGGACCAGUCCUGACGCUGAGGCGCGAAAGCUAGGGGAGCAAACAGG
rnacentral:rRNA from 1 species